rnacentral:rRNA from 1 species
GACGGAGGGCGCAAGCGUUUGUUCGGAAUUACUGGGCGUAAAGCGCGCGCAGGUGGUUUCUUAAGUCUGAUGUGAAAGCCCACGGCUCAACCGUGGAGGGUCAUUGGAAACUGGGAGACUUGAGUGCAGAAGAGGAAAGUGGAAUUCCAUGUGUAGCGGUGAAAUGCGUAGAGAUAUGGAGGAACACCAGUGGCGAAGGCGACUUUCUGGUCUGUAACUGACACUGAGGCGCGAAAGCGUGGGGGAGCAAACAGG